UUACAGACUAUGGGCUAUGGCGGCUGUUCUUCCUUGACACGUAAAUUGCUUGGAAAGACCUCCUAAAAGUCAUCACACCACAUAAAAGUCUUCGCACCGCUACAGCUCUGUGAAAAGACUUUGGACGUACUAGGAGUAGUGGAGUAUUUUAGGAAUGGUUGGGCUAGGUUGUACACUUGUACUCAUCUGUCCGCAAUCAUCUACACUCACUACUACACGAACAUCUUCUACAGUGUUUCCCUUCAGCAAUUUUACCUAUCGAGUAUAAAGAAAUAAACUAUUUUACCAAUAAGUAGAGCAUAUGAUUAAAUAAAAUUGAAGAGACAAAUAUGUGCUUGCUCAUACCAUUGUAAAUCUCAUGCAACUCAUCAUAAUAAGCGAAGGACUUGUUCUUUCAUUUUUGCAAAUUUUCUGGAAGUUCAUAAGAGCAUCUAGAGUCUGUUGAAUAAUUAGACAAAUUCCAGAUUAAAUUCCGAAUAUAAAUCAUGACCAAAUUAGAAGAACUAAAGUAAAAAGCCAAAUCAGAUGAUGCGUACUGAUUAGACAUACUGAUAGAUGGCGCGCGUCGGAAUCAGCAGGGUCGACGACGUCGAAGCAGCGAAAUCAGCAGGGUCGAUGAGGUCAGAAGAUCACGAGCAGUCGCAUGAAGACGCCUCCCAAAAACCUUAUUCGCCUUCUCCCGGUGCAGGAUCUAGAAGACGAAGGGUUCUGUAGACCUGCUCUCCUGAUCGCAGAUGCACGUCUGCGGUCGGGAUGAAGAGAACUAGAAGGCGGCUCAGCUGUGAAGAGAGGCGAAAGUGAAAACUGGAUAAUUUGGAUGCUGGCUGCCGGGCUCCUUUUAUAGAGCCGAGUCCGCGACCCCCGAUCUUAUCCGCCCACAAAAAUCUCGCGAUCAGUUGAGAUUUUAUAGCGAUCGGUUAGAAUAAACGUAACAGCCAAGUAAUCAAAAAAUCAGACGGCAAAAGGUAGUCGCGCCCCCGCAAGGCGAGGGGCCGGAUUUCGGCGGACCAUUCAC
rnacentral:lncRNA from 1 species